rnacentral:rRNA from 2 species
CUUAAAUUGAAGAGUUUGAUCAUGGCUCAGAUUGAACGCUGGCGGCAGGCCUAACACAUGCAAGUCGAGCGGUAGCACAGAAGAGCUUGCUCUUUGGGUGACGAGCGGCGGACGGGUGAGUAAUGUCUGGGAAACUGCCUGAUGGAGGGGGAUAACUACUGGAAACGGUAGCUAAUACCGCAUAAUCUCGCAAGAGCAAAGAGGGGGACCUUCGGGCCUCUCGCCAUCAGAUGUGCCCAGAUGGGAUUAGCUAGUAGGUGAGGUAAUGGCUCACCUAGGCGACGAUCCCUAGCUGGUCUGAGAGGAUGACCAGCCACACUGGAACUGAGACACGGUCCAGACUCCUACGGGAGGCAGCAGUGGGGAAUAUUGCACAAUGGGCGCAAGCCUGAUGCAGCCAUGCCGCGUGUGUGAAGAAGGCCUUCGGGUUGUAAAGCACUUUCAGCGGGGAGGAAGGCGGUGAGGUUAAUAACCUCAUCGAUUGACGUUACCCGCAGAAGAAGCA